GAUGAACGCUAGCGGCAGGCUUAAUACAUGCAAGUCGAGGGGUAGCAAGAUUGUAGCAAUACAAUUGUUGACGACCGGCAAACGGGUGCGGAACACGUACACAACCUUCCUACAAGUGGGGAAUAGCCCAGAGAAAUUUGGAUUAAUACCCCGUAACAUAGCGAUGUGGCAUCACAUUGCUAUUAUAGCUUCGGCGCUUGUUGAUGGGUGUGCGGCUGAUUUGAUUGUUGGCGGGGUAACGGCCCACCAAGUCUACGAUCAGUAGCUGAUGUGGGAGCAUGAUCAGCCACACGGGCACUGAGACACGGGCCCGACUCCUACGGGAGGCAGCAGUAAGGAAUAUUGGACAAUGGACGCAAGUCUGAUCCAGCCAUGCCGCGUGAAGGAUUAAGGUCCUCUGGAUUGUAAACUUCUUUUAUAAGGGACGAAAAAAGGUCUUUCUAGAUCGUCUGACGGUACCUUAUGAAUAAGCACCGGCUAACUCCGUGCCAGCCGCCGCGGUAAUAC
rnacentral:rRNA from 1 species